rnacentral:lncRNA from 1 species
UUCCAUACCAUUUUUGGGAUGUCUAUACGAUUCAACGCAAUGAUGUCUCUCAUAAAUCUCAAUACAAAAAAUCCGCAAUCGACCGAAUUAUUUUGCUGAGGACACUACACAGAAAAACAAACAAUAUAUAUAUAGUUAAUUUCUUACAAACACUAUUAUAAGCAAAAAAACAAACACUAUUAUAAGCAAAAAUAAGAUACUUAAUAUA